UACGUAGGGUGCAAGCGUUGUCCGGAAUUAUUGGGCGUAAAGAGCUCGUAGGCGGUUCGUCGCGUCGGCUGUGAAAUCCCGAGGCUCAACCUCGGGUCUGCAGUCGAUACGGGCGGACUGGAGUUCGGCAGGGGAGACUGGAAUUCCUGGUGUAGCGGUGAAAUGCGCAGAUAUCAGGAGGAACACCGGUGGCGAAGGCGGGUCUCUGGGCCGAUACUGACGCUGAGGAGCGAAGGCGUGGGGAGCGAACAGG
rnacentral:rRNA from 1 species